GAUCAUGGCUCAGGAUGAACGCUAGCGAUAGGCUUAACACAUGCAAGUCGAGGGGCAGCAUGGUCUUAGCUUGCUAAGACUGAUGGCGACCGGCGCACGGGUGCGUAACGCGUAUGCAACUUGCCUCACAGAGGGGGAUAACCCGUCGAAAGACGGACUAAUACCGCGUACACUUGGGAUAGGGCAUCCUACUCCAAGGAAAUGAAAUUCGCUGUGAGAUAGGC
rnacentral:rRNA from 1 species